CUCGCGAAGGGGAGGGCAGCGUCUCGGGCACCCUGGGGCGGGGUGCCCUCGGGCUCACCCUGUUGGGCACAGCCAGGAUGACAAGAUCCUCCCUGCCAGGCCCCACCGCGGCCCACCGGUCUUAAGCACCAGCAGGUGCAGCGCGUCGUCCUGCAGGUAGGAGGCGGCGGCGAUCUCAUGCGUAGGGAUGCGCAGGAUGAGCUCCUCGUUGUCGCGCCAGAUCCUCACCCUGGCCUUGUCCAGCAGCUGCAGGAGCUCGUCACGGCUCGAGGGGUUCAGAGAGGAAGUCACCCAGGUGAGGUGGCCCAGGAACUGGAUGAGAAAUGAAUGAGUGAAGGACACAGUCACCCUGAAGCUGUGGAGGAUCCUGGUGUCCUGACUGACGAAAGACUCUUCAAAAGACCUCCCCUAGGAACCAGUGGUCUAGAAGCAUUAACCAGGAUAUACGUGGCUGUAACAAAAACCCAAAUAACAGUGGCCUUAAACAUGACAGAAGUUUACCUUUUCUUCACAUAAUAGUUGAGGUAUGCACAGGCCAGAACAGGUGUGGCAGCUCCAUACGUCACCACCCAAGUGUUUCCUAUCUUGCUGCACUACCAUAUGUGGGUUCCUCCCUGUGUACUACCAGCAGCAACCAAGGACCUGGGAAUGUCCCACUCCCUUGUGUUUUCCACAUAGCUUCCUUCAGCCAGUAGAGACCUUCACGCCCCUUCCUUAAAGGGAAGACAGGAAGUACCCUAGCACAAAGUUCUAUUGCUCAUAUCUCAUUGGUCAGACCUUGCCUAGCUGCAAAGGAGGCUGGGAAAUGUAGUCUUUCAUCCUAGUGGCCAUAUGCCUUGCUAAAAGUUCCUUACAGAAGGAAGGGAAGCAUAGCUACAGCACAUACUUGGCAGUCAUUGCCUCACUGGCAUCAGGUCACCUGCCCCUACCCCUCGAAUACCUGGUCUGGGGAAUUAUCUUAGAUCAAUGAUUCACAUACUUGGGCAUGCAUCAUAGUCACUUGGAAGACUUAUCAAAAACAGAUUGCCACUCAUUCAUUGGCUGAUUCAGUCGGUCUGGGUUGGGGCCUGAUCGUCUGCAUUUCUAACAAGUUCCCCGGUGCUGCUGAUCUGGGGACCACAUUCUGAGAAUCAUUGUUUUAGAUCAAUUAUGAUUUUUUCCCUGAUGCCAGGUAAGGGUUAAGGUACCAUGUUCUGAGUACUUGGAAGGGGACCACUAGGAAGCCUGCAUGAAAGGAUGGUGAGAAAGACUGUUUGGUGGCAACCAGGAGAGUCUCAUGGAAUCAGGAAGAUGGGCUUGGAAAAGCUCAGUGGACCAGGUGGGACUCCUGGAGAUGAGGCUCAGGAGAUGUUAGGGGUCCAGUUUGUGAAAAGUUAGCAUCAGGGUUGACAUUUAUCCUGGAAGUGCUGAGCAGCCAUGGGGAAUUCUAAAGCAAGUGAACACCAUGAUCAGAUUGGUGUGAGGAUGCAUUAAAGGGAUGGUCCUAGGAAUGAGGUCUUUAGACUUCUUCACACCAACAUCUCCUGGAGACAUUUUGAAAUAGAGUCCCAGGGGCCAGGGAUAUAGCUCAGCGGCACAAGUGCCUGCCUGAAAUAGAGUCCCAGGCCUGUUCUAUCUACCCUCUGGUUAUGGAGAUGCAAAUCAGCAUUUUAAAAGAGCUCCCCUGUCCUCCAUAUAGUUCUGAUGCUUUUAGAAGCUUGAAGACUGCUGGGUUAGAGUGGGAACCCUAGAGGGAGGGACUUCUUAGAGGCAAGGCCCUCCAUAAAAUAAACUCCUGUUUUAUCUUUCUUGUUCAUGCAGCUGGCAUAUGUAAGGUUCUCAACACAUACUUGUUUUAGAGGAGUUGGGAAUUUUGUUCUGGGCCUUGAUUGUGUCAUGAACUCAUUCUUUGACCAUUGACAAGUAUGUUCUCACCCCUCACUUUCUUCUUUCCCCUUUUCUGUAAAAUGAGUUUGGAGAUCCCUAGACACGUUGGCCUGGGAUUCUUGAUGAUUGAUGGAGGUUCUGUCCAGUCAACAAGGAAGUUCUUUAAUGUCCUAACUCUCCCAGCCAAGUCUUUCUCACUGGAAGGAGCCACAGAGAUUAUGGCAAAAGGUAGCCUUCCUUCCCAUUCUUCCUUCACCCAACCCAGAACAGCCAAAACAAUAAGACACAAGCAGCACAUACUGAAAUGACUUUUAAUAUCUCAUGUUGCAGCAAAAUUAAAAAUAUACAAAAAGUUUGUGGAGUACAAAAGAGUCUUAGUACAGAAGCCGCAGCUUGGGGCCCCCUGCCCCUCCUGGGGGAAGCUCAGAAGGGCGAGUGGGGGUGAGGGGACUGGGAAUGGCACAGAUGUAGUAAAUAUCUAGAAGUGGGACUGGAACUAGGAAACAGAAGGAGCAGAGUGGGGUCAGUUAGGGAGGGAAGAAGGAACAUGGAGGGAAUCACCCAGAAUUGUGCUGAGAGAGGGAAAUCAGCCCCUCAGGCAUGGCUAGUCGUUCCUGGAGGAAAAUUGGGGCACGGGGAUCAGAGCUGGGGGGUGGUUGUGGUGGGACCCCCCCCCCAAGGACCUGGGUUCUGGUCCCACCCUGCCAUCAGCUUUCUGUGUGACCUUGGGCAGGCCACCUCUGGUCUCUGGACCUACUCUUCCAUGAAAUAGGAGCUGGACAACUAAACCACUGAUUCCCAAUGUGAGCUGCUAGAGGCUGCCUGAGGGUCUGUGGAGGCGGGAGUAGGUGGGCAUCCAAGAGUGCUUUUAAGAGUAAGCAACCCAAUAGGAUAUGGAAACUCCCCACCCUCAAGCUCUGGAAGCUCUUUUGAGGCCUUAGCAGCAUUUACUACAACCAGAGUCUCAGUAUGAGUUAAUGUGGCAGAAUGAAUCCUUCAUCGAGAAAGGAGGUCUGCUUGGGAGAAAAUACAGAUCUUCCAAAGCACAGGAUCAUUAGGUGUGAAAAGAGUAAGUGGAGACCCUGGGAAUGGUCCCUGCUCCUUCCUGCGGGGACAGGGGUUGUUUGCCUGAGGCCCCUUCAUGUUUGGGGGUUUAGCCCAAUGCAGACAGGCAAGAAGCAGGCAGGGAGGGGGUCAUGGUAGGUCCGUAUGGAUUCUGGGAUUUAGGGAACAGGAGGAUGGAGGAAUAAUUCUUUUCCCACCUGAUGCUGUCUUUACCCCCUCUUUGUCCCAAGGUCCCCUCCAUUCUGAGAUUAUUGCGGUGAUCCUGGGCCCCCACCCCUCCAGCCUGGCCUGGGAGGCCUUCAUGGCGAGUGUGCAUAGACUAAAGGCCAGGGUUACUGGGAAGAGGCCUGCUUUCUUGUCAAGAGAAGGUUAGAGGGAAAGAAGCCGAGAACAGGAAGUUCCCUGUGUUCCCCAGAGGGUUUGGUGUCAGGUGGGCUCUGGCAGCUCAACCAGGCCAGGCUUGGCUGGGCCUCCCUCUCCCAGUGUGUCCUGCUCCAGCCUUCCUCCUCUCCUUGCCCCCACCUGUAGCAACCAAGGGCCUGGGAAUGCCACAUCCCUUCCCAACCAGAAUGGCAGGUUGUAGUCCCCUCCCCAGCCUAGGGUCUCAGAAACCUCUUUGGCUGGAAAGAGGGACUGAGGCCCUUGCUCUGCGACUGUCUGUGUGGCUUGGCACUCACUCAGUCCCUUGCACUGAGAGGUCACAAAGCACUCCAGUAUGGAAACUGGCAGCUCUCCUGCACCUGUUCCCAGCUCAGGUGGCAGGGAAGCAGGUCCGAGGCCAGCACAACAUGGGGCAGUGGGUCCCACUUUCAGUUUUUAUCCUGUGCCUAGACUCCCCCUCACCUGAUGCAGGUUCCUCCUAACCAGAAGUGCCCCCACUCCAAAGCUCCCCCUCAAGCUGCACUGAGGCCUAGGUGGGCCUGCAGCCCUUAUUAGAGGAUGUUUCCCAAGCCAGAGUCCUUGUGGAUUCCCUGGACUCCUCCUCCUUUCCAGCUGAGGGAGGAGUGGGGUCUUCUUUCAGAGGGCCAGGUGGCAGGGGCAUAGAGUUAGACUGGUAAAGUCUCAGGGGAAGCAAAGGCCUCUGUCCCUCCAAAAGGUUUCCAGGCCCUGUGGGCCUCCCCAGAAUCAUCUCAAUAUUUUGAACUGAAGGUUUCAAACUAGUGACCCUGGAAAGAGUAUUUAGUUUGGCCAGCACAGUGUGUUUGUAAAAAUCUGGACUUAGUGCCAAUGGGUAGGGCAUAUACUAUCCUGUUUGCCAGGGGCCCCCCAUCCCAUUGGCACCUCCACUUCCCUAGUUUCAUUAUGUGCAGACACUUGACUUUGCGGGCCACACACCCGCCCCAGAGAACCUUCUCCCCAUACCCAGUGCCAGCCCAGGUGCCUCUAAGGGAAGGACCUAUAGAACUCUGGUCUUUAGGGAGCUUUGGGGCUGCCAGGCAAGCACCUUCCUGAACAUUCUCAGCCCCCUUGUCCUCACCCAGAGACCUGGACCUGCCAGCCCUCUGCUUUUCCAGCUCUCAAGGGUGACCCAGCUUCAGGGAGACAGAGGUGUCACAGGGAGCUUGCUGAGGGUAAGGCAGAUUUGGGGGAGGUACAAGAAUGAGGCAGAGGAGAGGAGGGGACUUGAGAAAGCCUCCCUUGUUGGGGACCCAUUGCUGGGGAGGAUGGAGGCCUAUGCUGCUGAGCUGGGGUGCCGGAUACAAGGCACAUGUUAUGUCAGUGCGUGGACAUGUGACAGGGGUGCUCGGUGCCUGGAGAGGUCAGGGACCCCAGUCAGCAGCCUACAGAGUCAGUUCAAGGGUGGGAGCUUGAGAAAGUAGGGAGACUGAAAUUUGCCCUGAGAAUAGGGACAGGUCUCUUAGGAUUAGGUACUAGAGCAGGGCCUCCUGCUGCUUUGGUACCAGAAUGUUUCCUCUUCUCUUCCUGGCAAAAUUAAGACAGACUUGAUCACCUCUCAUCCCCAGGAAAAUUCCAGCUCUGUUACUGACUUCCUGUGCAAUCUUGGGCAAGUGCCUGCCUCUUUCCAGGCCUCAGUUUCUCCUUUAUAAUGGAUGAGGAGGGCAGGUGGCUGAGGGGAUCCCUCUCUCACAGCAGGACUUUGUAGGGACUGUGGGGAGGACUGAGCAUCCAGGCUGGGGAGAUAGGGAAUGGGGGAUGGAGAACCCAAGGGGUUUAGUUCUGGCAGGGAAGACAGACAGGCUGAGGUAGAUUGUGUGACAGAGAGGAACAGGAAACAGCCCCAAGGGGAUGGGCCUUCCCUCACUCUGACUCCUCUAUGCCAAUGCAAGGAGACAGACCAGCAGAGAGGGGGACCUCAGGCCAAGAAGGAUGGAGUCCUGAAAUCCAGGGUCAGAAGGCUAAACUCUCUCCGGAGGCUAAGAAGCAGAAUGUGCCCACUGUCCUCUCCUCGGGCUCUUUGACCAUCAUCUUUUCUGGUGUUCAGAUGUUUUUACAUGCAGAGGUCCUGAGGGAAGGUUUAGUGGGACUGAGUUUAAAAAAAUAUACCUGUGAUACCCCAGUGAGCCUCAAGCUGUGCCUGGCACUGGCAGCUCAUUCACAUGCCCAGGUUCCUGGAGCUGCCAGAGCUGUAAAGGGACUCCAGCUCCCAGAAAGGGUACGUCUAGCUUUUCCUUCUAGGAUGCUGGAGAACAAAGCAGCCAGAUAGGCCUUCCAGGACCCUAAGGAGUAAAAUAACUUGCCAAGGUGGUCCUCAGGUGGCUGUGUUGAGCUUUAGUUUCCUCAUCUGUAGAAUGGGAAGACAACACCUCUGAAUGGGAGGUUGCAAGUAGGGGAUGGUAUAAGGGAAACAGCAUGGAAUGAAAUUUCCUGGCACAAUCAGCCUGGGGAAGCAGCACCCUCAUUGGCAAUGCUCAUGUCACAAAGACUGUGGCAUGUGUGUGACCAACCAUGGAAAUGGGUCUCAGGAGAUAGAUUGGGGCAGAGGACAAGGAGCAUGGUGAGCCCACCAGAGUGGGCCUGCCUUGGGAUGAAAUCAUCCAUCGCUCUUGAGUUCCUGAGGCGCCUUAGGAAUCAGAGAAGCAGAGGAAGAAGGAAAAGUAUUCUGUGUGGCAGGAGGGAUGCACCAUCUUGGCCUGGUGUCUUCUGUGUAGCCACCUGUGGUGGGUGGGGCUGAGUUACUUAUAUCACAGAUGUGACAUGUGCUUGUGUGUGUGUGUGCGUAUGUGCACAGUCCUGCCCUCUUUACCCUGAGCGUGGGCCCUCCUUACAUCCUCAGCAAAUCCAUCACCCAUCACUAUUUGAUGGGGCAACCAGCCAUCUCAAGCCUUGGGAGAGCAGCUGCCACUCUGGGCCUCAGUUUCCCAUCUUUAAUCUGUAGGGUAGCUGAGCAGGGAGGCUAAGCACACCUUAUCAUUUGCAUAGUGUAGGAUUCUCAUGGCAUACCUUGCCCCAGCCAGGGUCUGCGUCUCUCUCUAAAGUUCCCUGUUGUCCCCUCCUAGUGAACCCACCUUAGUGGUUUGGAGAUGGGAAGGGGCUCCAACUUUUGCCUAAAGGAUCCAUCCCUCCAACCCAUAUGGCCACCCAUUUCCCCACCUCACACCCCAUCUAGGACUGGCUCCCUGGGUCAGAGAAGCAGCCCUGGAUGUGUGAUCCCAUGCACGCCCGAGGAUGUUUGGGUUUGGGAAUGUACCAUGAAUCCUGGGGGGUUUUCAGAUGUGAGACAAAACAAGUCUGUUUCCCAGAUGCUGCCCCAAAGAGCUGCAUCUACUGGGUGGUGGAGAGCCAGGAUUCAUGUCACAUCCCCAAAGCUAUUAUUUUCCCUGCUGAAAACAAGUUGGCAGCUGAAAUAGCUCAGGUUCUAGGGACAACUUCCUUUUUAGAAAGAUGGCUAUGGACCAGGAUGGACAGUAACCUAGAACUCCCAUAAGCCCCAGAAGUCUAGAACUGCAGCACCAUGCUUAGACUGUUCCAUUUGCACUGGGUUCUAGGGGCCCCUUCCCCUCACCCACUGUAGUGGACACUAGAAUCCCCCCACAGUGAAGCAGUGUCCUUGCUUCUGUGUCCUUACUUCUCCUAAUAGAAUAUAGAUCAGCAACUCCCUAGGACAUUUUAUCAUUGAUGUGUUCUAGAACUUCAUCUACAGCUAAGCAUGUCUCUAGAACAGUUCCUCUGCUGAAUGUCCUGCUGCCUCAUCUGUAGUUGAGCCCACACAGAAUAUCUUCCUAGACAUUUUAUCUGCUGUGUUCAAGACCUUCAUCUAGAAGAAAUGUUCCAGAUGCUCAUCUAGAACAAAGAAUGACUCCUCAAAAAGUUCACCUGAGGUGUCUAGAACGUCAUCCAUACCAGUCCACAACAAAGCUUGUU